UACGGAGGGUGCAAGCGUUAUCCGGAUUUACUGGGUUUAAAGGGUGCGUAGGCGGGCAGGUAAGUCAGUGGUGAAAUCUCCGGGCUUAACCCGGAAACUGCCGUUGAUACUAUCUGUCUUGAAUAUCGUGGAGGUAAGCGGAAUAUGUCAUGUAGCGGUGAAAUGCUUAGAUAUGACAUAGAACACCAAUUGCGAAGGCAGCUUACUACCCGAAUAUUGACACUGAGGCACGAAAGCGUGGGGAUCAAACAGG
rnacentral:rRNA from 1 species